AUAAGCUGCUGCAUCGAUCCAAUAUUCAACUCAAUGAGAAAAGAAGAAUGCGAAUGGCUCGUGAUGUGGCAAAAGGAAUGAAUUAUUUGCACGCAAGCAAUCCUACUAUAGUGCAUCGAGAUUUGAAAACACCAAACCUCCUUGUUGAUAAGAACUGGGUCGUAAAGGUCUGUGAUUUUGGGUUGUCACGCAUGAAGCAUCAUACUUUCCUAUCCUCAAAGCCUACUGCU